rnacentral:rRNA from 1 species
GACGAACGCUGGCGGCGUGCUUAACACAUGCAAGUCGAACGGAAAGGCUCCAGCUUGCUGGAGUACUCGAGUGGCGAACGGGUGAGUAACACGUGGGUGAUCUGCCCUGCACUUCGGGAUAAGCCUGGGAAACUGGGUCUCAUACCGGAUAGGACCGCACUUUGGUGUGUGUGGUGGAAAGGUUUUUCUGGUGUGGGAUGAGCUCGCGGCCUAUCAGUUUGUUGGUGGGGUAAUGGCCUACCAAGACGGCGACGGGUAGCCGGCCUGAGAGGGUGGACGGUCACAUUGGGACUGAGAUACGGCCCAGACUCCUACGGGAGGCAGCAGGGGGGAAUAUUGCACAAUGGGGGAAACCCGGAUGCAGCGACGCCGCGGGGGGGAUGAAGGCCUUCGGGUUGUAAACUCCUUUCGCUAGGGACGAAGCUUUUUGUGACGGUACCUGGAGAAGAAGCACCGGCUAACUACGUG